UGCAAGUCGCACGAGAAAGGGACUUCGGUCCUGAGUACAGUGGCGCACGGGUGAGUAACACGUGAAUCAUCUACCUUCGAGUGGGGAAUAACUGAGAGAAAUCUUAGCUAAUACCGCAUAACACUUACGAGUCAAAGCAGCAAUGCGCUUGGAGAGGAGUUCGCGGCAGAUUAGUUAGUUGGCGGGGUAAUGGCCCACCAAGACGAUGAUCUGUAUCCGGCCUGAGAGGGCGCACGGACACACUGGAACUGAAACACGGUCCAGACUCCUACGGGAGGCAGCAGUGGGGAAUUUUGCGCAAUGGGGGAAACCCUGACGCAGCAACGCCGCGUGGAGGAUGAAAUAUCUUGGUAUGUAAACUCCUUUCGAUGGGGAAGAUAAUGACGGUACCCAUAGAAGAAGCCCCGGCUAACUUCGUGCCAGCAGCCGCGGUAAUACGAGGGGGGCAAGCGUUGUUCGGAAUUAUUGGGCGUAAAGGGUGCGUAGGCGGUUUGACAAGUCUUAUGUGAAAUCUUCGGGCUCAACCCGAAGUCUGCAUGGGAAACUGUCGGGCUUGAGUAUGGGAGAGGUGAGUGGAAUUUCCGGUGUAGCGGUGAAAUGCGUAGAUAUCGGAAGGAACACCUGUGGCGAAAGCGGCUCACUGGACCAUAACUGACGCUGAUGCACGAAAGCUAGGGGAGCAAACAGGAUUAGAUACCCUGGUAGUCCUAGCCCUAAACGAUGAUUGUUUGAUGUGGGGGGUACCCAAUCCUCCCGUGUCGAAGCUAACGCGAUAAACAUC
rnacentral:rRNA from 1 species